CAGUCGCCGCGGUAAUACAGAGGGUGCGAGCGUUAAUCGGAUUUACUGGGCGUAAAGCGUGCGUAGGCGGCCUUUUAAGUCGGAUGUGAAAUCCCUGAGCUUAACUUAGGAAUUGUAUUCGAUACUGGGAAGCUAGAGUAUGGGAGAGGAUGGUAGAAUUCCAGGUGUAGCGGUGAAAUGCGUAGAGAUCUGGAGGAAUACCGAUGGCGAAGGCAGCCAUCUGGCCUAAUACUGACGCUGAGGUACGAAAGCAUGGGGAGCAAACAGGAUUAGAGACCCCAGUAGUCCCUGUCUCUUAUAC
rnacentral:rRNA from 1 species